rnacentral:lncRNA from 1 species
GUUCUUCCCAAAGGACUCAAAGGCCUAAUCUUUCGUGUAACCCAAUUGCUUAAGACUUGAGAAAAGAAUUAAUUUUAAUGUGUGAAUGCAAAGAACAAAACUAAACAUGCAAAUGCAAAUGAUUCAAUUGGCGAGGAAAAACUAUGAAUGAAUGGAGUUGUUGGCGUUUACAAUUUCAUCUUAUCCCACUCUCAUAUAUCUACUUUUCUUAUUUACUUCACUUACUUAUCCAAUUGCCAUGCAAACUUUCUAGCCUACCUUUAACCCAAUCCCUUGGUGAAAAAAGCCUAUUAUUAAUUACCGGCUUGCUAUCCCUAGCCUCCCCUAGUAACUAAUAAUGCAAUGUGAACGGAAGCAAAAUACAAUUGAUNGUCCUACCCCUAUCCCUAGGCGGUAUUAGCAUAAUCAAGGAAUUUCUCACCAGUUCAUGACAUUAUCGUACGUCCCCG